rnacentral:lncRNA from 1 species
UGACUCCUUUUAGCUUCGACUUUGAACAGCAUGCCCUUACGGAGGAACAGAUGAAGGAGCUGAUUUACAGGGAGUCGCUUGCAUUUAAUCCUGAAUACCAGCACAUGUGAAUAAUUGCUGGUAAGAUUGUUGUCAGUUUGAUCUUCAACUGACAAUUUGUCCCUCCAUGUAUAUAUGUGUGCACUUCGUCCGAAACACGGAUGGCUUUCUUAUGCAAACACUUAGUUAUGAAGCUUGAUUUGUGUAAAGAAUUGUUUGAUGUAUCUUAUGAGGUGGAUCGCUUGUAUCGGUUCUGUUUUAAUUUACUGAAUUCUGUAUCACAUGAUGUAAUUUUAUUGGCAGUAACAUCUUAGUUUCUUCGCCAGCAGUCGAUUGUCUCAUGUUAUGAUUUUAUUCUAUUUUUUAUAAGCAGCCCAACAGUUUCCCCCAAAACCCAAAAUAUAAAAAAUAAACAAGUUUACUCCAAUGUGCCUCUUUACCUAGUUCACAUUGUAUUGCUUUAACCAAAUGAAAAAAAAAAUUACGUUUGUCAGUUUGAUCUCCAACUGACAAUUUGUCCCUCCAUGUAAAUAUGUGUGCACUUCGUCCGAAACACGGAUGGCUUUCUUAUGCAAACACUUAGUUAUGAAGCUGAUUUGUGUAAAGAAUUGUUUGAUGUAUCUUAUGAGGUGGAUCGCUUGUAUCGGUUCUGUUUUAAUUUACUGAAGUUAUAGUGGACGAUAUCUGUAUUACAGGAUGUAAUUUUAUUGGCACUAACAUCUUAAUUUCUUCGCCAGCAGUCGAUUGUCUCAUGUUUGGAUUUUAUUCUAUUUUUUAUAAGCAGCCCAACUGUUCCCCCCAAA